GCGGUCAUAGUACAGUGGCUAGUAUGCGUGACUGUCACUCACGUGACCCGGGUUCAAUUCCCGGUGACCGCG
rfam:Giardia intestinalis strain GS GS_B_0277, whole genome shotgun sequence.